rnacentral:rRNA from 1 species
ACUCCUACGGGAGGCAGCAGUAGGGAAUCUUCCACAAUGGGCGCAAGCCUGAUGGAGCAACACCGCGUGAGUGAAGAAGGGUUUCGGCUCGUAAAGCUCUGUUGUUAAAGAAGAACACGUAUGAGAGUAACUGUUCAUACGUUGACGGUAUUUAACCAGAAAGUCACGGCUAACUACGUGCCAGCAGCCGCGGUAAUACGUAGGUGGCAAGCGUUAUCCGGAUUUAUUGGGCGUAAAGAGAGUGCAGGCGGUUUUCUAAGUCUGAUGUGAAAGCCUUUCGGCUUAAACCGGAGAAGUGCAUCGGAAACUGGAUAACUUGAGUGCAGAAGAGGGUAGUGGAACUCCAUGUGUAGCGGUGGAAUGCGUAGAUAUAUGGAAGAACACCAGUGGCGAAGGCGGUCUACCGUGGUCUGACAACGUGACGCUGAACGUACGUACGAAACGCAGUAGGGUACGACGAACGAGGUAUU